CUCCUUUCUAGUCGAGACGAAUUCCUUCGGGGUGAACAAUCCCGGAGGUUGACGGUACCGAGAGAAGAAGCCCCGGCUAACUCCGUGCCAGCAGCCGCGGUAAUACGGGGGGGGCAAGCGUUGUUCGGAAUUACUGGGCGUAAAGGGCUCGUAGGCGGCCAACUAAGUCGGACGUGAAAUCCCUCGGCUUAACCGGGGAACUGCGUCCGAUACUGGAUGGCUAGAGUUCGGGAGAGGGAUGCGGAAUUCCAGGUGUAGCGGUGAAAUGCGUAGAUAUCUGGAGGAACACCGGUGGCGAAGGCGGCAUCCUGGAACGACACUGACGCUGAGGAGCGAAAGCCAGGGGAGCAAACGGGAUUAGAUACCCCGGUAGUCCUGGCCCUAAACGAUGAAUGCUUGGUGUGGCGGGUAUCGAUCCCUGCCGUGCCGAAGCUAACGCAUUAAGCAUUCCGCCUGGGGAGUACGGUCGCAAGGCUGAAACUCAAAGGCCAUU
rnacentral:rRNA from 1 species